rnacentral:rRNA from 1 species
UACGUAGGGGGCUAGCGUUGCUCGGAAUCACUGGGCGUAAAGCGCACGUAGGCGGCUUCUUAAGUCAGGGGUGAAAUCCUGGAGCUCAACUCCAGAACUGCCUCUGAUACUGAGGAGCUUGAGUCCGGGAGAGGUGAGUGGAACUCCGAGUGUAGAGGUGAAAUUCGUAGAUAUUCGGAAGAACACAAGUGGCGAAGGCGGCUCACUGGCCCGGUACUGACGCUGAGGUGCGAAAGCGUGGGGAGCAAACAGG